UUUUUGGCUCGUACUUUUUCCAAUUGAUUAUCUUUUCUCCCCGUCAUUUUUGUAUUUCAUAGCUAUUGUCAUUUUUUCUGGUUUUUCAUUUUUCGCUGCUUGGUUUUAUUCCCGUCGCUUGUUGAUAUCGGAGGAAAACAUAUCUGUCAUGAACCCGACUCCAUGGUUGAGUUGGUUGCUACUGAAGAGGCCUUUAAAAUUUUUGACCAGGCUAGUUGGACAAGGUUCUUUGAGAGACUGUGUGGUUUUGAUGAUGUUGUGACAAUUGAGUUUGCCACGAGUUUCCACAGUAAAACUGUUACAUUGCGGGGAUUACAAUUUCCAGUGACUGUGCUAACCAUUGUAGCUAUCAUAGGGCUACCUCAAAUUGGGGAUAAUUUCUUUUCCAAUUCAUCUUCGCGAGUCACGGACCUAAAAAUUCACAAGAAACAGUUCCUUCAGCAGGGGGAAUUAGUAGAAUAUGUCCAAGGACAGGGGCGGUUCACAAGUCCUUACCAGAACCAUGGGACGAUGAUGCCAAAUUUCUAAUUCAGUAUAUCACCUGUGAAGGGCAAUACAAGUAUGUAUUUGCUCAUCAUUUUUGACUUAUGCUACAUUUAUGUCCUGCUGUCCUUGUCAAUGUUCCAUAUUAUUUGUAUUGUUCCUUGAAGCAAUCCUGUAGCCAAUUUUGUUGAGGUCAUGUAGAUUCCCUUUCCCAUCAUGGGUUAAUUAAAAUAAUCGUGCUCCAUGGACUUUGUGUUGCUCAACCUCCUUUAGAAUGGGACACUUUUGUGCAUCAGGAUAGUGGAGAAAACCCUGAAUCUCCCCAAAUUGAUAAAUCCCUAGAAGCUGGAUCCUCUAAACGACGACACUCUAAACCUCUGCUUACUCCAAGCCCUAAGAAGUCAAAAACCCUCAUGACACAAUCACCUAAGAAGCAGAAGGCCAAGAAAAAGCCUACGUCUCAUACUCCCAAGAAGCCAAAGGGUAACAUAGGUCACACCCCAAGCCCACAUUCUAUGAUUACUCGCCAAAAUAAACAGCGUACUCCUGAUAGGUUGAAUUAACUUGCUGAAGCUACUGACUCUGUUCAUGAUGUGGAAAUCUGGCCACUCAAAAGCCUAAACAGAACAAUCAGCGACUACUCCAGGAGUUGAGAAGCCAACAAUGAAGGAAUAAAAAACAGCAGCAACAGAAACAGGUCUUUGCCUCCGGUGAACAAGGGGAUUUGGAGUCAGAUGACGAAAAUAUGUCUAAAAAUUUGGAAACUCUUCAAGACCAUGUGAUUGGCGAGGAGACUGAAUAGGGGAAUGCUGAUAUCUGGACCAAUGAAGUUGAGAACACUCUAGAAAUACAACAGGAGGACCCAAUUGAGGAUACUAAGACUGAGAAUUUACUGGAAAAUGUAUCUCUUCAAUAGAAAGGGCAUGUAAUGUUCCUCUUGAAACAAACACACAACAAGAUACGGGUAUAAUGGAGGAGAAUCAUAUUGCAGAUACUAGUUUGGUCCUUUGUCAGGUUGAACAAAAAGAUACUGAUAUGCCCCUCGCUCCUCAAACAAAAACAGAGCGUCCUCCUGAUGAGUCUGUUGUUACACUUUUUGGUAGUGAAGUUCCUAUUGACCAUACAAGCUCUAUUUCUUUAGAAUCCCAGAGUCCAGUUGUUACAGAACCUUUCAAGGCCCCUGAAGCUUAUUGGUACAACUACAAACACUUGUUGGUUAGGGGAAGGAAACCACCAAUAGGGAAGGAGUUAACGAAUUCAUAGAGAUUUCUAAAUGCUUGGUUGCAAAGCCUACUGGUUUCAGUCAUCCACCCAAUUUGCAUGAGGGAAUGCAAAAUCCUUAAGCUCGGGGGAAAUGAUGGGAGAAACAUGUGGAGACAAUUCAGCCAUAUGGAUGGAGUUGGGCGAUGUGAAGAUUGGGCUUUUGUUGAAACAAAUCUAUCUAUUUCUUUAAUUUUGGAAUAGUUGUUAGUAGGUUUAAAACUUCUGGCCUGCAGCCAAAGUCGAACUCUAUGUUUAGUACUUUAUGGCCAACGACCAUAACAAACUAUGGUUUCUAUUUUGUUUAUUUUGGUACAUCAGAACACUAUAUAUAUGUGAAUGUAUGGUUGAAAGACUAUCAAAACUAUAUAGAAGAAACAUUCUG